CCCUUCCAGUGGAAGCCGAUGGUGGGGAGGUCGAGGAUCUCGAUUUGGAGUGGGAGGAAGUCGAGAGUUGCGUCGAUGAUAGAGAGGUGUUGAGCUUGUUUGUUGAUGCUCUCAAUGAUGAUGGAUCCAUUUCUGUAUCUUCUACACCUAUUAUUGCAGAUGAAGGCGAAGAAGAUGCGAGUGUUGAAGUGGUUGGAGAUUUUGGGAACCUGGAAUGGGAGGUUUUGUUGAAUUCAGAUAAUUUAGUGGCAACGGCAGGAUUGAAUCAUGAGCUGGAAACUUACUUUGAUGAUGAUGAUGAUUACUUAUAUUCUGCAGAAUACGAGACCAUGUUUGGGCAGUUUACUGAGAAUGAGAGUUCUUUAGUGGGAGGGUCCCCGGCUUCUGAAGCAGUGAUCCGGAAUCUACCGAAGUUGGCUUUGACUCAAGAGGAUGUGGAUGGAAAGGAUGGGCUUUGUCCGGUCUGCAAGGAUGAAUUUUCGGCCGGGAACAUUGCAACGCAGCUGCCUUGCAGCCACAAAUACCACACCAAUUGUAUUUUGACGUGGCUGCACGUGAAGAAUACAUGUCCUGUGUGCCGUCAUGAAUUACCUGCUGAUGGUGCAGAAUCAUGAGCAGGGAAGGACCGGGAGAGCACGGAUUGGCCUCUACUCAUGAGUCAGGGCCAACAUUGUUUUGUAGAAGUCUGGACUGAGUAUUAAGUUGUGUAAAAAUGUAGAUAGUGGCAUAUCAGAGACCCUCUUAUCUUGUACUUGUAGUGAGGAUGAUUGAGUUCUUCAGAAGUUCAACAUUUUUUGGUAAGGGCAAAAGGGUGUUUUAUACCUCAAGAACCCGAAUUGUUAACUGUUGGGAGAAUAAAACUUGAUGUAAUGGUAGGUUUUCUUCAGACAACUCUGUGUAGUCUAUGUUGUCUCCAAGUCUUCGCCACUGCUUUUUUCGGCUGGUGUUCUUGAAGGGCACGGCUUAUGAAGUUGUAAGUUUGUAUUAUUCAUGUUAGCAUGUCUUUAUAGGAACCACUUUGACCUGUUUGCCUCGUUAUGGUUUGCACAUCAGAUGAUCUGUGGCGAGUCACUGCAGGUUUUGAUAGUUUUGUUUGAAUGUAGUCCCCCUAAGGCUUCAGGGGCUGUAUAAUUUUCUGCUGCUAUUCCUAUAAUGCUUUAUGCCCCUUGUUCUUUGCUAAAUAGAGGUGGUAUGCAUCCUUGGACAAGAUAGAUUGCUUGUACAAGUUAUUAACAGUUUGGGUUACUCGCCAUUUGAAUCUCAAAUCCAUCCAAAAAUUCUAUAGCUGUGUUCGGUGGGCUAGAUAUAACUUUCUAUGCACACGGUCUUCCUCUACCUACAAGUUUCAGUAUUUGGUUUGGACUUUCUAAUAUGAUAUUAGAGUCGGGUUCUUCUCCAAUUUAUUUCGCUGUGAUCCCCCCCACGGCGGUCGAAUUCUAUGCCUCUGUUCCUAAUCUGAUUUUUGCAUGAGAGGAGGUGUUAAAGUAUUUCAUAUUCUUUUGUCUAUUAGAUUUAUAUGUUUUUAUAAUGCAAACAAUCUCUUUUCACCUAUACGUCUAAACUUCUAGAAUUUGACUUUCUAAUUAAAAUGAAUUUCCAUGUUGUCCUAUAUAACCGGUCCCACCCCUCCUGCCAGCUGCAUUCCCCCUCGUGUGUGAAUAUGGUAUGAUGAGGGGAUGCGCAAUCAGUGAGCCAACCCCAAAGAUUACAAAGGCGGCUUUCCACGGAACUAUGAAGCACUUCUGUUUGGUCAGGCGCAAGUCGCAAGAGAUAAGGUCUCCGUUGCCUUCUUAGUCAAUCCGACUCAGAUGCUAAGCUGAUAAGGUGUUUGAUGAUAGUCCUCAAGUCAAUUCCCCACGGUCGAGGUGGAAAAUUUCUCCCUCCAUGUGAUAUAAAUAUGCGUCCCGGCAAUAGGUCUGUGGCUUAGGAGCUACUCCAACGACAGAGCAUCGUCAUAAACAUGAGAUGGGGAAGUUGGACAUCCAAUUUCCUCACCUUGCUCAACAAAACAUGCAACCUCACCCAUCGCAAUUUUAUCAAUCUCUCAGCAAUAACAUCCUCCCGACCCCAGCCGCAGUCGCAACUACCGGCGCCGUCCUCUCUAGACCUCGAGAUGGGUGGGAGGGCACAUGACGCUCCGCCUAUUGCACUAGAGGCAAAGCAUGACCUGGCCUGGGAGAAGAUCGUCGUCUCAUUUUGCUUGGCAUCGGCCACAGAACUAGCCGUGGCAUCGAUCCAGAAGGGACAUCACUUUCCUCCGAUGUAUUGUUUAUACUCGGCGGUGGUCAUAUUAGCCUUUACUUUUCUCUUUGUAGGCAAAUACAUCAGAAGCGAUACCAAGUACCUGACGAUAUCCCAUGCUCUUCAGCACAUUAGCAUAUUCUUUGUGGCGACCGCCUUCUUUGUCGCCAUGACAAUUCCAUUCCAUUUUUGGCUCAAGUGUGGUGCUUGGGCCAUAUAUGCCACUGCGAUUUUGGCCAUAAUGGCUUGUAGAUUCUCUUGAACUUCUCUAAUUCUAUGAAAACUCAAAGAGAUAGGUGGGGGAACAUAUAUAUAUAUAUAUAGAUGCAAGGGAUUUCAUGUAUCAAUAAUAUAUUCUAAUGUAGUCUUUCGAGCAAUCAGAUAGAGAGUUAGUUAGCCCCGAUCGCUCAGGAUUGACCUAUAGCAGCUUGUAAAGAAUAACGUCUAAGCUCGAUUGUGCAUUGAGAUCCCAAUCCAAUCCAUAGAUAUGCAUCGAAAUUUUCUCCUUGUGAACACUUUUCAUUCGUAUUUCUCUCUUAAGGAAAAUUUAAGCACGACUCUUCCACCUCUCCCCAACGCUGCUAAAUUGAAUUUCCGGGUGAUGUUUGGGCCUGGUGGGCCAAGCACUUGCCUAAAUCAACCUGAAAGGUAUUAGAGGUCUGUGCACUUCAUGGGCCGGCCAAGCCCAUCAACAUCGGUUGCCUCCCUCCCUCUUGAGAUGUCGUGAAUACAGGACAGCUUUCACAGCUUCCACCGUCUUUUGGUCCAAAGUAGGUCUGCCGCAAUUGGAAAAAUACCAUGUUCAUAUUGCAUUCACUAGACAUGGUCAACGGGCGAGCCGAAUGACAUGUCCCCGUAAAACCUAGACCUGCACGAUUCAAAAGACAGCUCUAUUUUCCUCUGUCUGGUCAAGGGAAUUUUCUUCCAACAACACCUUUCAUCGGAGGGUUUCGGGUUAUGAACGUUGUUCUAGUGCAAACUUAACCAAAUCAAAUGCCGCCGAUACAUCUUAAUAUGUGUAAACCCACCAAUCAAAAGAUUGGACGCAAAGCACGAUCCUUUUAGUAAAAUUUAAAUUGGGAUGGAUAAGAGAAAUAUUGACAGACGCCCAUUUAUUUAUGUUUCGAAUUUAGUUGGACCUACUAAGGUGCCGCUGCUAGGACAUGAAUCAUGAUUCGGUCUCAAGGCUCACCUCCAUGUUAUGGUACCACCCCUCUCAAUUUCAAAUAGAUUGGUCUACGUUGCAUUUAUGGAAGAGCUUUGUACCAAUUGAAUCUGAUUGAAGGAAAACGAACUGGGGGACUAUGAAAGUGAGGUUUGCACAUCCACAUUCCACACAUAUUUGAUUGGCCAGGAUAACGCAGGAUAACGUGUGAUGCUUUCAAUUCAGCUGAGAUAAAUCAUCUCAAUAUAUUAUUGGAAUAAUAGCACAAAUAAUUGAUGAACUUUAAUUUAAUGCGCAAUGUCGUUCUUAAAUUUUUAAUUUGUAUAAUAUGGUUUAUAAACUUUGGUCCAAUGUACAAUGUUAUCCAUAAGUUUUUUUUUAUUUGUUUAAUAUAAUCCUUGAACUAUUAAUAAAUGUUCAAUAUAGUCCAUAAACUAUAUGAAAAUGUUUAAAAGUUCAUAAUAUAAGUUGAAUAUUGGAUCAAAGUUUAGGAGUUAUACUGAAUAAAUUAAAAUUUUAUGAACCACAUACUAAGUCUAAACUUAGCUCGUGCUCUCUCAAGUCCAUACCAAUUUGCGACUUAGGUUUAAAUAUUUAGUAUGCAAAAGAUUAUUAACUAAGAGUCGACACUAAUCAAUUUACAAUAGGUCAAUUAGACACCUAUGCAAAAUAAUUGGAGAAUUAUUUUACUCAUACGAACUAGAGACUUUAGGUACGGGGACUUAAUUACACAAGACUUUUCUAAUGCCUUUUCAAUACCUUUCUCUUUUUAUUUUUAAAAAAAUAUUUUGCAAGCAGCUUGAAUUAAUUUUAACUCACUUCCCUAACAUGUAAUAUGAUUAGUGCGCAAAUUACCAAUUCAACACCCAAAUAAAGCAAUAAAUAAAUUGCAAGACUUACCUCAUAGCAACGAAAAUAUCUACAAUGUUAGCUCAAAAUUCACCUCAAAAGUGAUUUGCAAUCACUCAAUCUUUUUUUGAUUUUUUUUUUGUUUAAGGAAAUCUAAUCUACGUGCAAUGCAAUUUAACCAAAUGAACUAAGUCUAAUGACGGACAAUUUCUAAUUAAAUGGACUUAGUAACAAUCACUAAAUGUCAUGCAUCUCAUGAACCUAGUUCUAUAUAACAUGCGCAUGAUAUUUUUGUAUUUUUUUUUAUAAAAAUUCGUAAUUAAAAAUGACUAACAAUAAAAAUAUAACUAAAGUCAGAUGUUAUCUAUUUUAAAUUAGGAAAUAGAGUAAUCUGAAUCCUAUCUUAACUUAGAAAUUUAUCUCGACAUGCAAUUUUAAUUCAAAAGAUAUUAUCUAACCUAGAUACCAUUUAAAAAUGCAUUAAAAAAAAAUCUAACUAUUCUAUCAUGCAAUUUUAUCUAGGAAAAUCAAUUCUAAUCUACAUGAAAUGCAAAUGCAAUUUUUUUUUAAAAUUUUUUGGGAUAAAUAAAGCAAUUAAAAGAGAAGCACCAAAUCAUUUAUGGUCAUCAAAGAUAUUAUCCAUUGUUCGAAUUUGGAAACGAUAUCUAAUCAAUUUAAUUAUUUCGCUAAUAAAAUUGAUAAAUUGAUCUUAAGCUUUAAAGAUCAAGAUAUCAAUUAUUCUCGCUCUAAAGCCUUAUAAAUUGAAUAAAAAAAUCGGUGUGCGGUUACGAAUUAUGCAAUAAGCCCUAAAUGGAAAUACACCUAUCAUAUGCAACUCCUACUAACAAAAGAAAUCAAAAGAUUCUACAACACCCAUAUUCUUUACAUAUUUUUUAAAUAAAAUGAGUCGUAAGUCUUUUGUUAGAGGAUUAACCAAUAUGGACUUAGUUCUAAUAUUCUCAAUUACAAUGUCUCCCUUUUUUACCAAAUCUUUAAUAGUAUAAUAAUACCACAAAAUUCAAUCGGGAAAUCUAGGAAGACUUGAAGAUUGCAAGCUAUUUGUUUCCUAAUAUAUUUCCUAGAUUUGGGUUUUAAAUUUGAUAAUAUCUUUAUGGUGGAAUUCAUUUCCUAUUAGGUUUAGGAAAGUGGGGAGAUCUAUUUAUUUCAGCAUUAUACCUUGUACUCUUGUGAUACGCUCAAAAUAAGAAAUCGUCUCUCUCUCUCCCGUGGACGUAGGCGGAUCUUUCGCCGAACCACGUAAAUAUCCGUGUUCUUAAUUAUUCUUGUUUACUUUUCUCAUCUAGUUAGGGUGAGAUAUUGAAAAGCAUGUAUUAGGCAAUAAAUUUAAAUAAGAUAAUUACCUAAUUCCGCAAAUAAGGGCGCGUUUGUUUGCGUUUCUGUUUAAAAAUUGUUCCAGGAAACAGAAAUAAAAAAAAGUGUUUCUGUUCCUGGGAACAAUUUCUGAACAAAAAAACGCGUUUGGUAACUGUAUAAAAUUUCUGUUUCUGGAAUAGAAAAAGAACAGAAACACGUUUGGUAAUUGUUAAAAAAUUCUGUUUCUGGAAUAGAAAAAGAACAGAAACACGUUUGGUUAUGUACAAAAUUGCUGUUCCAGUAAUUGGGCAUUACUACUUCCACAGCUAAAGCUAAAGAUGUUCCUACAGCUUUUUCUCGAUGAACAAACAAAACUCCCAAUGUAUGUAGAUUGCCUAUUGCCGAAAUAGACCAAGGGUCGCCUCAAUCGUUUCCUCUUCCCAAUAUUUUCAGCUUCCAUGACAAAGAAUGCAAGAGCUAGAACUGCAGAGAACAAAGGCCCCUCCCCUAUUGAAGUAUCGACUUCAAGAAAAACGUUGUCCCUUGAAGGGAAAUGACAAAUAGCAUGCAUUAGCCUCAUAAGCGCCGGCAAAAUUCGUAAUGCAAAACAGAAUUUAGUAAUGAGGCGCUUAUUUCAAUCUGAAUGAGUGCCGAUCUUGUGGCCUUACCUAUUUCGUUGGUACCAGUUUUGGACCUUGAAAGCCUACAUAUCUUCUAUUAAAAGGAGAGGGGAAAGAGGAAGCAUGAAAAGACAGAAUACAUUCAUAUGCAGUGUUCAGUAUAUCAUUUCAGUCCGGAACAAGGCCUAGAUCUGGUCCCCUAUGCAAAAUAUGCAAUCAAAUUGAAGCCAGCUACGCGAGAGUUCUAUGAUGAACAUCUUCGGUCCCACUUCAGACCACAAUGUGAAAUAGCAUCAUUCAGCUUCUCUUUUUUUUUGGGGGAGGGAGGGAGGGAGGAGGGGGCUCAAGGGGAGAGAGAUCAUCCAUUCAAUCAAGAGCAUCUUCAAGCUCUCAAAAUAGCCAUACAAGCCAUAGUUUCCUUGUACAUUUGGUGACAACUUUUCUCGACAAGAUCAAGCAGCUUUCCCAAAAUUUUUGCCCACAAGUUCAAGAUGUCAUUGCUGUCUUUUGUCAUCUGUUCCAGAUGAGUCCCAUUGACCGGUCUAUCUUUGCCACCAAGGAGUUGGAAACAACCAUGUAGGAGAGAUGCUUCUCAGCUUCCUAAAUUGAUAAUAUAGAAUUAACAGGCCAUGCUGAUAGGAUAUCAUCCAAGCUUGUAUAAAUAUCAUCAUAUCGUCUAUCAUCCAAGCUUGAUUUAAUUAGUUGAGGCAUGUGAUUUUGAUUAAAGCCCUCUACAAUAGUGACAACAGAACCCCAAAAAACUGAGCUCUUCUCCUUGAGUGAAUCAUACAACAGUGGUAACACAACCCAAAAAAAACAGAGCUCUUUUCCUCAAGUGAAUCAUCUAUGCAGAAUUUCUAAACACAUUAAGAAAGCUCUAGUAGCGAGAUAUACUUUUGUAACACAUGCAGUGGUGAGUGUUGAUACUAGCAAUAUAGCAGAGCUCCUCCACCCUUCAAAAGCGCAUUAGAAUUUCAGGCUCCGUGGGACAAGAAAUGGUUUCAUGAUGCCAGACAAUGACACUUAUAGCCCCAACAAAUAUAUUAGAAGAAAUCGACUAAGCUGAGAGUACCCAUAUUUGUCAGUCAGAAAUUCAUGACAAGCCCUCAGCUUUCAAUGCACCAGAAACUCUUUUUCACUAAUUCGGAACUUAUAUCCAAGUCCAGUAAGCAUGCCCCAAUCAGGGAUUGAAGGCAGGUAGGUUGACCAGGCUAAAUGAGGGGUCUAGGCAACAAUUCAAAAAGAUUGACAUUGAUAUAGAAUAUAAACAAAAUGUUCAACACAAUCAGGCCUAGAUGCUGAGGCAUAACAGCUCUGCAAGUCUCUUCGAGGUAAUCCUCGAGUAAUACUUUGAAAUGAAGAUAAUAUUCUGCAGAAAAUAGAUUGAGUCACAUCCGAAUGAUGAUCCGAAAAGAAGAAAAAUGACAGUUCUGCAAGUACCAAGUUCAACGAUUCUCUGUCUAAGAACUUCUGCUGCCUUCUCAACAGGUGGACCUUCCAGCAUGUUUUUCUCAUUCUCAAAUUCAUCUUUGAAAGUACUCCAAAAAGCAGGCCAUCGGAUAACCUCCAACUUCAAUUGUUUCAGAAGCAACCUGCGUUCAAAUAUUGAAGGCAUGGUCAACCAAUUCUACAGCACAUUACUGUGAUAUUUCAAGAUGUACAGCCAAUUACCCACAACAAUUCAUAGAUGGUACCUCAAUUGGAAUUUUCUGAGAGAUUUGUAUCCUCUAAAGAGGCACUAAGAAGGCUUGACGCAUAGGAUCAUGUGGUGAUAGAACCAAGCACCAGCAGAUUUUCCCUGGAAUCUACAGUAAAUUAAAUCGCAGAAUCAACAGCUAAUCCUUGAAACACACAGUGAAGACUUAACAAUGAAAGAGCCUCACCAGUGUACACUGCUCCGGGUUUCCCUUCACCAAUGUCCACUGCUCUGGGUUUCCUUUCACUGAUGGAAUCUCAACUAUUGCCUUGUAGCAUCGACAUAUCUCAAGUUAAUCAUUGUUGGGCAAGCAAUACCUAUACCUACAUCGUUAACCACAUAAAUGCAGGGUAAACUGAGAUGCGAGUACAAAUCUAUCAAUUACAUCUGGAACGUCAGAGUUUGCACUAAAACUAGAAAGGAACAAGAGAAUGUGCCGUGGUUUGAACCACGACCUGAACACUAGGUGGCACUUGAUCGGCAAAAAACAUCAGUUAAAAGAUAGUGGGCACAUCACUAGAAAAAGCAGAACACCAAUUUACCAUAUCAUGAGUCAUAGCAUAUCCAUUUCAACUCCAGAAGUGAUGAAAUAUCAGCUAGUGCUUCUUCCACAAUGCUUUCACCUUCUUUAGGCUUUUUUUUCUCUUCGGAAGGAAUUGCAUCAAACAUUCUGGGGCUGAUCUUCCUGGAAAGGAUAUGUGCUGUGCACAGACAUAAUCCUGGCGAUCUAAGCACAAACGAACCUGCAAAAUCCAUCAAUCAGAAAACCAAUCAUAGUAAUAGUGCACAAAAGGCUAAACAAAAAACCCUUACUUGUUAAAAUAUGGAGGCUCUGGCGUCGCCGAGCCCGAGCAGCAGCGAAGCUCGCUGCUCUGCUCUGGCGUCGCCGAGCCCGAGGAGCAGCGAAGCUCGCUGCUCUGCUCGCUCGAGCCGAGCCCGAGCAGCAGCGACGCUCGCUCGAGCCGAGCCCGAGCAGCAGCGACGCUCGCUGCUCUGCUCGCUCGAGCCGAGCCCGAGCAGCAGCGACGCUCGCUCGAGCCGAGCCCGAGCAGCAGCGACGCUCGCUGCUCUGCAGACGAGCUGCUGUCGCAGAUCUGGGGAGCAACGCUCGCCCAGAUCUGCGAGACUCGCUCGAGCAAGCGGCUCGCAGAUCUGGGCAAGCGAUUCCUCGAGCGAGCCCUAACACUCGAGCUCUCGCCGAAGUGAAGACAAUCAGUGAAGGAGGAGCAGUGACGACGUUUACCUGGUGAAGGAGCAGCGGCUGGAGGAGGCGCUCGUCGGAGACAGGCGCCGGAGAAGACGAUGGAUUUCUCUGCUCGCAGGAGGAGGCGCUCGUCGCAGGGGGAGACGCUCGUCGCAGGUCGGAGGAGGAGAAGCUCGUCGCUCGUCGCACGUCGCCGGAGGAGAAGCUCUUCGCCCGUCGCUCGUCGCUUGUCGCAGGUCGCAGGAGGAAGCUCGUCGCGGGGGGGAGAGGAGGCCUGUUCGAGCACAAAUCAGAAAUAAAAAAGGAACACAAUUUUGUUCCUUUUUUGUUUCCGAUUUGUGUUCCAGAAACAAGAAACAAGUUUUUCUUGUUUCUUGUUUCUGUUUCUUUUUUGUUCCUGGGAACAAAAGAAUAAAAAAGGAACAGAAACGCACACAAACGCGUUCCUGUUCCUUUUUUGUUCCCAGGAACAAAAGAACAGAAAUUUCUGUUCCCAGGAACAGAAAUAAAAUCCAACCAUGCAGGCCAUAAUAUUACCAAAUUUGAACUCAAUGGAAUUGGUUCGAUGGAUGACCGGCGGCGGCUCACGGGCGAGGCUUGGCACAAUGAAGAAAUGCUAUGACACCAAGGGUUGCUAGACGGGUGGUGCAGAUGUGGGAGGAGCGUCCAAGGGCUGCCACCUGCAAGUUCUCUACAUUGGACUUUGAUCCAAACAAGAACCAACGACGUGAUUCACGGUGACCAGCAAAGCUACGGCGAUGCAUAGAACAGCAUGAUGCUUGCUAAAGUUCUUGCAAGGGUCGACUUGAACAGCUGUGCGAUGUUGGAAAGAGUUGCAAGGAAAAGUUCAGGUGCAGCAGAUCUGCUGGCUGAUCGCGGCUGAGGGGUGGCUGAGGUGCAGUGGCCGACCCGGAAGAGCAGCAGCAGGCGUCGAGGUCGUUGCGGCUUCAGUAGGCGUCGAGCAGAGGGACAGCAGCGAGGUAGCAAGGCGGGCGUUGACGCUGGGUCGCGGUUGUUGGCGUUGCGAGGGAGCUCGAGCGGCGGUGGCAGAGGGUGCAGGCGGAGGCGUCGACGCUCGGAGGGCUGCAGGCGAGACGGGGCACGGCGAUGACUGGCGGAGACGCGGCCAGGAGCAGCAGCGCAGAGGUGCCAAGUCAUCGGGGAUCGGCACGGCGGGGCGGCAGUGCGAGCUCGCGGGCGAGGGGAACCCUGGUGGUGGCGUGGCACAAGCAGCAGAGGAAGCGUGGGCCGGUGCGGGGGCUUACGCGGCGGUGGAGCGGCGACCGGCUCAAAUCUGCCGUCGUCGGGGCGCUCGAGCGGGCAAAUCGGGACAGCGGUGGUGUCGCGGGGGAAACGAGCGGUGGUGGAGCGUUCGAGGCUGGCUACCGGACGGGGUUGGCGCGGCGGCAACGACGUAGGGGUGCGGUGGCCGGCUGCACGAAGAAGAAGAACAGUGCCCUUUUUUCUUCUCAAAAGCCUUCUUUUCUUCUUCUUUUGUUUUUGUUUUUGUUUCUUUUUUACCUCCCAAGGAACGAAGAAAAGCCUCCAUGAAAGAGCUUCUCUCGGUGUUGAAUUUUACCAAGCCCCCUUUCGACAUGAUAAAAAAAACCCUUUUAUAGGUCAAGGAUUAUGGUUUUAUUUUCCUCUUCAAAUCAACAUCCAUAAAAAAAAAAUGCCCAAACGCAGUAUAUCUUUUCAUUUUCCACAUCUCUUAUGGAUUUCCUUUGCAAAAAAUGAAUAUUCUCCACUGAUUUUCAAAAUUGCAAUAGGACUUUUUCUCAAAUUUGAAAUCUCGCAAAGAUGAGUUUAUAAUAUCUCCUCGAGCAUACGGACUUGGGCCAAUUUGCUCUUCUAGCGAGUUUAGUCCGACUUGCAAAAUUAAAAUUUAGAACUAUCAAUUCAAACCCAUCUGUCACCAAUAUAAUGCAAAUGCAAUAAUAACAAAUAAAUGCACCUAAAAUUAUAUGCAAUUAAUUAAUUAAUUUUUUUCUCAGGGGUUAAGAAUUAAUCACUAAUUUUUAUACAAUAAAUAACUAAACGAAUCACCAAAAUUUAGGUAUUAACGACUGCCCCUUUAGCUACCUCUCUUUGAAGGUGAGCUCAUAGAGGUUGCUUUCAAAAACAAACUGAGACAUAAAUUUUGAUAAUGCACAUGCAUUGAAUGAUUUUGAUGAAAAUUGAGAUUGAAAAACAUUGAUGAAAAUAAUUAAGAUAUCUAGAUCAAGACUGAGAUGUCAAGAUUUUGGAACUCGAAAUACCUAAAUCUAGACUAAGGAAUAACGAGAAAGAUCAAAAAACAUUCACAUCCAAAGUGAAAUGUUUAGAUAAAAAUAAUUAAGACAUCUAAAUCAAGACUGAGAUGUCAAGAAUUUGGAAACUCGAAAUACCUAUAUAUAUUGGUAAAAUCGAAAUACCAAUAUUUAGACUAAGGUAUAAUGAGAAAAAUCAAAAAAUAUUCACAUUUAGAGUAAAAUGUUUAGAUGAAAUUAAUUAAGACAUCCAGAUUCAGACUGAGAUAUCAAGAUUUUGGAACUUGAGAUACCUAGUCUAAGGUAUAACAAGAAAUAUCGAAAAACAUUCACAUCCAAAGUGAAAUGUUUAGAUGAAAAUAAUUAAGAUAUCUAAAUUCAGACUGAGAUGUCAAGAUUUUGGAACUCGAAAUAUCUAGAUCUAGACUAAGGUAUAAUGAGAACGAUAAAAAAAACAUUCACAUCCAAAGUGAAAUAUUUAAAUGAAAAUAUUUUGUGAGAUGUCAACAACAAAUUGAAAGAUUUUGGUGAAAUUCACAAACUCUCAAUUUUUGAAAAGAAACCCGAGCUAUAGAAGCACGCCGAGUCAAUAAAAAGGAUUCUGGGCUAUGGAAGCACGCCAGGUCAGGAACUCUGGGCUAUGGGAGCACACCGUGUCAAUUAAAAGAGACAUCGGGUUAUAAAAGCAUGUCGGACUCUGGGCUAUGGAAGUACGCCAGGUCAAUAUAAAGGAACUCCGGACUAUGAAAGCGCGCCGGGUCGAUAAAAAGGACUUUGAGCUACAAAAGCACGCCAGAUCAAUAUAAAGGAAAUUCGAGCUACGGAAGCAUGUCGGUUCAAUAAAAGAGACUCUGGGCUACGAAAGCAUGUUAGGUCAAGAACUCCAAGCUACGGAAGUACGCCAGGUCUAUUAAAAGAGACAGCGAGUUACAGAAGCAUGCCAAGUCAAUAAAAAUGGACUCUAGGCUACAAAAGCACACCAGGUCAGGAACUCCAAGCUAUAGAAGCACGUCGGAUCCAUUAAAAGAGACAUCGAGCUAUGGAAGCACGCUGAACCAAUAAAAAGGACUUUGGACUACAGAAGCAUGCCAGGUCAAUAUAAAGGAAAUAUGGGUUAUAGAAGCACGCUUGGUCAAUAAAAAGAGACAUCGGCUACGAAAGCACGACGUGUCAAUGAAUGGGACUCUGGGCUACGAAAACACACUAGGUUGAUAUAAAGGGGGACAUCGGGCUAUAAAAGCACGCUGAGUCAAUGAAAAUGACAACUGGGCUACGAAAGCACGAUAGGCCAGGUCAGUGAAAAUGGCUUCGGGCUACGAAAGCACGCCAAAUCUCAAGGUUUCAAGGAGUAACUUGAAUGUCAAGUGUUACUUGAUCUUUAGGGAAAUAUUAUCUGCCAAAUAUGAUUAGAGCAAAAAUUGAUAUGCAUUCAACAAAGAGGUAGACAAUUUGAGCUACUUUAAAAUGCACAUUUCAAUUCAGUGAGGUUUUCAUCAAUUCAAUCAAGGUUUAUGUAUGAUGACUUUAUCAUAUUUGCAUCACCCCAAAUUUCCACAGAAAAGAAUUGUCGUUCAAGACAAUGGCAUGGAUUUCUUAAGAAUACUAAAUGAGAGACUUUUCACUCACUCUCAUUCAGAAUGGCUGUUUUAGGAGAAUCACUCUAUCUCACUAUCAUCAUACCAAUAAGGGUCCGAGUAUUAUCGCAAGUAGUACAACCUUACCAAUCUGAGAGGUCUUUAAUAGGGACCAUAAUGUUGGCUUGGUCAAUGGCUUAAUAAAGGGGACUCUUUGAGUCAAGGCUAUUGAAGGAACAAUUCAACAAUUAUCUCCGGGUUUACAAGUCAAGAACCCUGUAAAAUGAGAAAGCAAUAAUCUUGUUCGCACUUCUUCAAGUGAUGCUUAUAAACAUAUGAAUUCCUAUGUUAAUUCAAAUGCCAUAAUCUGAAAAGACUUUGUAAGGGACGUAUAUAGGCUGGGUUCAUGGGUUGAGAAACAAAAUGAUCAUUAGGCUCAAGGUGUGUGUAAAGGGUGAGAGUUGAUGAACAUCUUGGCAUUGUCGCCGGUCUUCUUCACUAGUUAUUAUCUUGCCAAUGUGCUUCAUUAACCGUAAAAACUCGGUAUUUGUGCUCUUUGAAUACUGCUUCAUUAGGGAUACAACCUUUUACAACCAAUAAUCACUUAUCUUGACUCUCUUUCUUUCAUCUAUGGGCAUCGGCCUUACUUUUACCAAGUACACCGCUUUUUCAUGUCCCUAGUUUUCAUUCAUUUUUUCUUUACUUAUUUUUUAUGGGCAUUGGCCUUGCUUUUAUUAGGCACACUGCUUUUUCAUGCCCUUUGUUCUAUUUUGAAUGAUUAUAUGGUGCUUUUAACAUUUGGACCUUUGGGAGGUUUUCGUCUUCUGUCAGCACUUCAGACCAUACUGUUUGAACAAUUGCUUUUUGCCUUACCUCGGUGUGGGGAAUGAUAACCUAUGAAGCACGGACACGCUCGGUAACCUUCCGUGUCGUGUCGGACACGUGUCCGCGUGUCGGACACGCUCGGACACGCGGUCAACACGUGUCGGAAAUCUGACGCGUGGUCAACUUUUCUCGACACGCGAGUCGGAGCGUGUUCGAGCAAGAGGCUGGGUUUCUGGAGCGGAUCUGCAAGCGUGAAGGGAGAGUGAAUCGUUGGCGAUGGAGGGUGAAGACGAGGCGAGGGAGAGGAAGCAAGGCUGCGGAGGCGAGGCAGCAGCAGUGAGGCUGCGACGGUGAGGCCGCGACAGUGAGAGAAGGCUGGAGGAAGAGAGAACCAGGCGACCGAGAUGGCCGCGACAGAGGACCGGAGACAAGGCUACGAUCGCAAAAGAGAGAGGACCAGAAGCAAGGCAGUGAGCAGCUGCAACGAGGUGACCAAGAGAGAGUAGGGAUUGAGAGGAAGAGGAUUGUGCAAAUGGAGGAGGGAGCGGCCGUUUUCCGAGAGUUUUCAAGCUGCUCUCGAAGGGUUUCUAAAAGAUAGAAUGGGUGCCGUGCAAGGAGGAUGAGCAGUGAGCACAGAAGGAGGAGGAGGCUAUGAUUUAGUUUUCCAAGGAGGGGGUGCCGUAAAGGAGGAGUCAGAGGGGGAUGAGGCAGCUAGGUUUGGGUUUCCAAGGAGUGCAGAAAAAAAUUUAAAACUGAGGUACCGUGCAUUUGGGUUUUCAAGGAAGAGCAAGAAAAAUAAAAGUAAAAUAUGAUGGUGCCAGAAGAGCCAAAAACAAAUUAAAAUGGGAUGCUCGUCCUGGGCGGGAUGUCCCUUUUUUCUUUUCUUUUUUGGAGGGAGAGGGUGGAGGGUGAUUUUAAAAAAGAAAAAAAACGAAUAAUGUUGAAUAAUAAUAAAUUAUGAUUAUCAUGAAAAAUUAUAAAUUUAUUUAAAUAAAUUGACUAUACUCUUUAUUUUUGAAAUAAUUAUAUGUAUAUAUAAAAAUAUUUAUUUAAUAUUUAACGUGUCGGAAUUCUCUAUUUUUUUAGAAAUGACGUGUCGCGUGUCGUGUCGUGUCAUAUCGCGUGUCACGUGUCGCGUGUCGGUGCUACAUAGAUGAUAACUAAUUGGGUUUGAAGAAAUGAAAUUGUAGGCUCAGGUGGGCUAUAUAAAUGAUAUAAGUAUGUAGGAUAAAAAGAAAUACUCUUCGUCAUCCUAAAACACUUAAAUUACCACAUGAAUUCAAUGUAAUAGCACGACUUGAAGAUUGAUGUAAAUGAGAAUAAGAAAAUUUCUUUCUAUUUUCCUCAUCUCAUAAUGAUGUCUUACCUCCCAUUUGCCCCGAUGUGAGGUGGUUCUUAACAUGGAUAAUUUGAAAAGGAUUUUUCGCAAAUGUAUGGGGCUCAAAGAAAAGUUAAGCAAUUGAUCACCUAUAAUGUUUGAGAUAAAUAAAUGAAUUGCCCCUCGUCAUUUCAAUUAUCGUACAUUUUACGAGAGAACUCUUUAUCUUGUGGAUAUGAGCCUUCCUACACUCAUCUCACAAGUGUAUAAGUAGGGAACUAUUUAUAAGAUAUUUACAUUUCAUCAUCCUGACUCAUCUCAUUGAGUAUGCUCAAGCAUUUAAUGUCACUCUAUUAAAUUGUUCAUCUCGACAAAUCUCCACACUAAAUAGAUAAAAACACUAUGAAAAUUUUCUUUUCAAAAGAAUCUAGUAACUUUAAGCAUGAAUUUUUUUUUUUUUUUUUUUUUUUUGUGACCUUAAGCAUGAAAAGUUUUUGUGACUUCAAAACAAACAAUUUUUUUUAGUCAGUCAAAACAAAACAAUUUACCAUACUUCAUAAGUAUGAAAAACAUGUCCGCGAUCCGGCCACCGCCGACGAUCGGAUCGAGGAUCUCCUGGACGUCGACUUCGCUUCCGAUCCCGACUCCGGCGAUCGGCUCCGGAAGAUCGGCGGCGAGGGCGGUUGCGGCGUGGAUCUGUUCGUCGAGGAUCCGCAGCUCGCGGGCGGCGCGGAUUCGGCGUCGGAGGAGGUAAACGGGUUGGAUUUUGGGGUGAUCGAUGCGAAUGACGACGUUUGUAUGGAUAAUGUGGAUGUAGGUUUGCGUAUCGGGUUAGGGCUUGGCGCGGGUGGGGACGAGGAUGUUGGAUUUGUGGACGAGGAUUGUUGUGAAGAUGAGUUUUUUAUGGAGACCGGGGCUUCCGGGUUCGAUUCCUGCGAAGCCGGGUUGACGGUUUGCGAAAUGGAGCAGUGCUGGAGCGGUGUUCGCGAUGUCGAGUUCGAUUCCGAUUUGGAGUUGGCGGAAGCAUUGGGGGUUUGUGGAGGUUCAGAGGAUGAAUUGAGUUUGGAUCACGUGAUUGAUGAGGAUGACUAUUUCUGUGGCGUUCCUUUGUGUUGGGGUGAUCCCCUUCCGGUGGAAGCCGAUGGCGGGGAGGUCGAGGAUCUCGAUUUGGAGUGGGAGGAAGUCGAGAGUUGUGUCGAUGAUAGAGAGGUGUUGAGCUUAUUUGUUGAUCCUCUCAAUGAUGAUGGAUCCAUUUCUGUAUCUUCUACACCUAUCAUUGCAGAUGAAGGUGAAGAAGACGCGAGUGUCGAAGUGGUUGGAGAUUUUGGGAACUUGGAAUGGGAGGUUUUGUUGAAUUCAGAUAAUUUAGUGGCAACGGCAGGAUUGAAUCAUGAGCUGGAAAC
rnacentral:lncRNA from 1 species